rnacentral:rRNA from 1 species
UUAGAGUUUNAUCCUGGCUCAGGAUGAAACGCUGGCGGCGUGCCUAAUACAUGCAAGUCGAGCGAACAGAUAAGGAGCUUGCUCCUUUGACGUUAGCGGCGGACGGGUGAGUAACACGUGGGUAACCUACCUAUAAGACUGGGAUAACUUCGGGAAACCGGAGCUAAUACCGGAUAACAUUUGGAACCGCAUGGUUCUAAAGUGAAAGAUGGUUUUGCUAUCACUUAUAGAUGGACCCGCGCCGUAUUAGCUAGUUGGUAAGGUAACGGCUUACCAAGGCGACGAUACGUAGCCGACCUGAGAGGGUGAUCGGCCACACUGGAACUGAGACACGGUCCAGACUCCUACGGGAGGCAGCAGUAGGGAAUCUUCCGCAAUGGGCGAAAGCCUGACGGAGCAACGCCGCGUGAGUGAUGAAGGGUUUCGGCUCGUAAACUCUGUUNUUA